AACAGUCAGUGCUUAGAGGAGCUGCCUACAGAAAACAUCAAGGAGGCUAGAGAAGGAGGAGUGUGUCACCCAUCUGGAGGUCAGACAAGGCGACAGACUUCCAGGCUUGAGCACCAGUUCUGCUGCUGGAACACAAGGAUGAAGAGUUUCUUCAGACACUUCAUGUGCACUUGUCCUAGGAGAUUGUGAACUGGAGUGCUCUGCUGGGGUGCUGGCAUGUUUGCCUUGCUCACCAGGCCAGAGAUGCAGUGGGACAAGUGACAAAGGGGACAAUUCAAAGAUCAGACCAUCAAAGAGCAAUGAUGCCUUCAGAAGAGAAGUUUGGCAAGAUGGCAUUGCCAGAAAAUUUCUGUGAGGCUUUGAAGACUCCUUCCGUGUGAUCCUCCUGAGGAAUUCAUGUAGCAGAGGUUGUUGCGAGAGGAGCCUGGUCCAAUCCUCCAGAUACAGUAUAUCUGGUGUGAGUGUGAUCAAUGCAUUUCUAAAAUACAGGCUGGAUUUCUGCCAGUUCCUGAGGUAGCUUAAAAUUCUGGGCAGACUAAAAUGCUGCUGACUGACUAAGUAGCGUGAAAUGUAGGGAAUAUACAGAGAUAUCA